rnacentral:rRNA from 1 species
AUUGAACGCUGGCGGCAUGCCUUACACAUGCAAGUCGAACGGCAGCACGGGCUUCGGCCUGGUGGCGAGUGGCGAACGGGUGAGUAAUACAUCGGAACGUGCCCUGUUGUGGGGGAUAACCAGUCGAAAGAUUGGCUAAUACCGCAUACGACCUGAGGGUGAAAGCGGGGGACCGCAAGGCCUCGCGCAGCAGGAGCGGCCGAUGUCUGAUUAGCUAGUUGGUGGGGUAAAGGCCCACCAAGGCGACGAUCAGUAGCUGGUCUGAGAGGACGAUCAGCCACACUGGGACUGAGACACGGGCCAGACUCCUACGGGAGGCAGCAGUGGGGAAUUUUGGACAAUGGGGGCAACCCUGAUCCAGCAAUGCCGCGUGUGUGAAGAAGGCCUUCGGGUUGUAAAGCACUUUUGUCCGGAAAGAAAACCUCUGCCCUAAUACGGCGGGGGGAUGACGGUACCGGAAGAAUAAGCACCGGCUAACUACGUGCCAGCCGCCGCCGUAA